GAAGAGGUAUUAAGGUCAGCUAUCGCUUGAGAAAAAGAGAAUUUGUACUACUGAUCAUGCUGUCUGAGUACUA